AAUCUAUCUCCGAAUUGGGGAUAACAUUGCGAAAGCGAUGCUAAUACCGGAUAAUAUCCAAUGAACUUCGGUUUUUUUGGAUCAAAGGUGGCCUCUACAUGUAAGCUACUGUUUGGAGACGAGCCCGCGUACCAUUAGCUUGUUGGUAGGGUAAUGGCCUACCAAGGCAACGAUGGUUAGCUGGUCUGAGAGGAUGAUCAGCCACACUGGAACUGACACACGGUCCAGACUCCUACGGGAGGCAGCAGUGAGGAAUUUUGCGCAAUGGGGGAAACCCUGACGCAGCAACGCCGCGUGAGUGAUGAAGGCUUUCGGGUCGUAAAGCUCUGUCAGGUGGGAAGAACCCGCGCCGCACAAAUAGUGCGGUGCGCUGACGGUACCACUGAAGGAAGCACCGGCUAACUCCGUGCCAGCAGCCGCGGUAAUACGGGGGGUGCAAGCGUUAUUCGGAAUCAUUGGGCGUAAAGAGCGCGUAGGCGGUCUUCUAUGUCAGGUGUGAAAGCCCGGGGCUCAACCCCGGAAGUGCACUUGAAACUGGGAGACUUGAGUAUGGGAGAGGGAAGUGGAAUUCCUGGUGUAGCGGUGAAAUGCGUAGAUAUCAGGAGGAACACCGGUGGCGAAGGCGACUUCCUGGACCAAUACUGACGCUGAGGCGCGAAGGCGUGGGGAGCAAACAGGAUUAGAUACCCUGGUAGUCCACGCAGUAAACGUUGAACACUGGUGUAGCGGGUAUUGACCCCUGCUGUGCCGCAGUUAACGCAUUGAGUGUUCCGCCUGGGGAGUACGACCGCAAGGUUAAAACUCAAGGAAUUGACGGGGGGCCCGCACAAGCGG
rnacentral:rRNA from 1 species